GAUGAACGCUGGCGGCGUGCCUAAUACAUGCAAGUCGAGCGAACAGACGAGGAGCUUGCUCCUCUGACGUUAGCGGCGGACGGGUGAGUAACACGUGGAUAACCUACCUAUAAGACUGGGAUAACUUCGGGAAACCGGAGCUAAUACCGGAUAAUAUAUUGAACCGCAUGGUUCAAUAGUGAAAGACGGUUUUGCUGUCACUUAUAGAUGGAUCCGCGCCGCAUUAGCUAGUUGGUAAGGUAACAGCUUACCAAGGCGACGAUGCGUAGCCGACCUGAGAGGGUGAUCGGCCACACUGGAACUGAGACACGGUCCAGACUCCUACGGGAGGCAGCAGUAGGGAAUCUUCCGCAAUGGGCGAAAGCCUGACGGAGCAACGCCGCGUGAGUGAUGAAGGUCUUCGGAUCGUAAAACUCUGUUAUUAGGGAAGAACAAAUGUGUAAGUAACUAUGCACGUCUUGACGGUACCUAAUCAGAAAGCCACGGCUAACUACGUG
rnacentral:rRNA from 1 species